rnacentral:rRNA from 1 species
GACGAAAGCUGGCGGCAUGCCUAACACAUGCAAGUCGAACGAAAAGUAGCAAUAUUUUUAGUGGCGAACGGGUGAGUAACACUUGAGCAACCUACCUUAUACAUCGGGAUAACGCCUAGAAAUGGGUGCUAAUACCGAAUAAGACCACAGUAUGACAUCAUACAGGGGUCAAAGUUCAGGCGGUAUAAGAUGGGCUCGAGUCCAAUUAGCUAGAUGGUGAGAUAACAGCCCACCAUGGCGACGAUUGGUAGCCGGCCUGAGAGGGUGAUCGGCCACACUGGAACUGAGACACGGUCCAGACUCCUACGGGAGGCAGCAGUGGGGAAUAUUGGGCAAUGGGCGAAAGCCUUACCCAGCAAUGCCGCGUGUGUGAAGAAGGUCUUCGGAUUGUAAAGCACUAUAUUGGGGAAGAACACAAUGACGGUACCCAAGAGAAAAAGCCCCGGCUAACUAUGUG